rnacentral:lncRNA from 1 species
CCCCUUUUACGUUUAUUUCAUUACGAUCUCCACACAAGGGCGCGGUGUCCCUCCCUGGAGGGCCUGGCCCGCUGCAGGGGUACGAUUCCUGUGACUCAGCUUUCAGUCCAGUGGCGGGCAUGCGCCCCACCCCGGGCCUCUUUGUCUUCCUCGCUGGCGUUCCUCUUGCCUUGGGUGGGACGUAAAGCACCCUUAAGUGAUUUUAAAAGAGAAAGUUUCAUCACUGAAACAUCCAUAUUGUUUCAUCAGCAUAAUUUUUGUGAGCACUCAACAGUAGUAUUUGCUGGGUGUAAGGUAAUUUGGAGUUUAUAGGGUAAAACACCUCCCUCUUAGCAAAAUAAGUCAAGCUCAAGCUCUGCCAUUGACUUUACUGCCGGACAAUGAGGAAGUUCUUUACCUUCCUCUUCCUUAUUUUCAUAAAUUUUAAAAGUGAUGGCUAAGGAGGCCAGCGUUGAAUUCCAAAGACUACAGUUACAUUAUCUCUAAUGUCUUAAGAUGAAAUUCAAAAAUCAAAUUAUAUUUUCAAGGGAGCGUUUCCAGCACUAGGACAUCGCUGAAGUGCAUCUGCAUCUGGAAAUAUAAGAGAUUCGGGUAGAGGGAAGCAGUUUUCAAAAUGGCACCUGACUCUGUGAAUACCAGUGACCCACUUGCUACUGAAAAUUAGUUACAAAUACCAUGCCACGCGCCUGCAAAUGGCGUGUGAAAGGAAAAAGACUCGCCGGUUAUAAAGAGGCCUAGCUGUGAUUAUUUCUAAGAGACAAGGCAGUGUGCAAAAU